UACGUAGGGUGCGAGCGUUAAUCGGAAUUACUGGGCGUAAAGCGUGCGCAGGCGGUUUUGUAAGCCAGAUGUGAAAUCCCCGGGCUCAACCUGGGAAUGGCGUUUGGGACUGCAAGGCUGGAGUGUGGCAGAGGAGACUGGAAUUCCUGGUGUAGCAGUGAAAUGCGUAGAUAUCAGGAGGAACACCGGUGGCGAAGGCGGAUCUCUGGGCCAUUACUGACGCUGAGGAGCGAAAGCGUGGGGAGCGAACAGG
rnacentral:rRNA from 1 species